rnacentral:rRNA from 1 species
AGGACGAACGGCUGGCGGCGUGCUUAACACAUGCAAGUCGAACGGUGAAGCGCUUCCUUUUUGGUGGGUGUGGAUGAGUGGCGAACGGGUGAGUAACACGUGAGUAACCUGCCCCUUCUUCUGGAUAACCGCAUGAAAGUGUGGCUAAUACGGGAUAUUCUGGGUCUGUCGCAUGGUGGGUCCGGGAAAGGUUUUUUCUGGUGGGGGAUGGGCUCGCGGCCUAUCAGCUUGUUGGUGGGGUGAUGGCCUACCAAGGCGGUGACGGGGUAGCCGGCCUGAGAGGGUGGACGGUCACACUGGGACUGAGACACGGCCCAGACUCCUACGGGAGGCAGCAGUGGGGAAUAUUGCACAAUGGGCGCAAGCCUGAUGCAGCGACGCCGCGUGAGGGAUGGAGGCCUUCGGGUUGUGAACCUCUUUCGCCAGUGAAGCAGGCCUGCCCCUGGUGGGUGGGUUGACGGUAGCUGGAUAAGAAGCGCCGGCUAACUACGUG